rnacentral:rRNA from 1 species
AUUGAACGCUGGCGGCAGGCCUAACACAUGCAAGUCGAACGGUAACAGGAAGAAGCUUGCUUCUUUGCUGACGAGUGGCGGACGGGUGGGUAAUGUCUGGGAAACUGCCUGAUGGAGGGGGAUAACUACUGGAAACGGUAGCUAAUACCGCAUAACGUCGCAAGACCAAAGAGGGGGACCUUCGGGCCUCUUGCCAUCGGAUGUGCCCAGAUGGGAUUAGCUAGUAGGUGGGGUAACGGCUCACCUAGGCGACGAUCCCUAGCUGGUCUGAGAGGAUGACCAGCCACACUGGAACUGAGACACGGUCCAGACUCCUACGGGAGGCAGCAGUGGGGAAUAUUGCACAAUGGGCGCAAGCCUGAUGCAGCCAUGCCGCGUGUAUGAAGAAGGCCUUCGGGUUGUAAAGUACUUUCAGCGGGGAGGAAGGGAGUAAAGUUAAUACCUUUACUCAUUGACGUUACCCGCAGAAGAAGCACCGGCUAACUCCGUG